UGGGGAAUAUUGCACAAUGGGGGAAACCCUGAUGCAGCGACGCCGCGUGAACGAAGAAGGUAUUCGUAUCGUAAAGUUCUGUCCUAUGGGAAGAUAAUGACAGUACCAUAGAAGAAAGCUCCGGCUAAAUACGUGCCAGCAGCCGCGGUAAUACGUAUGGAGCGAGCGUUGUCCGGAAUUAUUGGGCGUAAAGGGUACGCAGGCGGUUUAAUAAGUCGAAUGUUAAAGAUCGGGGCUCAACCCCGCAAAGCAUUGGAAACUGAUAAACUUGAGUAGUGGAGAGGAAAGUGGAAUUCCUAGUGUAGUGGUGAAAUACGUAGAUAUUAGGAGGAAUACCAGUAGCGAAGGCGACUUUCUGGACACAAACUGACGCUGAGGUACGAAAGCGUGGGGAGUAAACAGG
rnacentral:rRNA from 1 species